rnacentral:rRNA from 1 species
UACGGAGGGCGCGAGCGUUAAUCGGAAUCACUGGGCGUAAAGCGUGCGCGGGCGGCGCGCCGAGUCGGGCGUGAAAGCCCCGGGCUCAACCUGGGAACUGCGCCCGAUACCGGCGGGCUCGAGCUUGGCAGAGGGGGGCGGAAUUCCGGGUGUAGCGGUGAAAUGCGUAGAGAUCCGGAGGAACACCAGUGGCGAAGGCGGCCCCCUGGGCCAGGGCUGACGCUGAGGCACGAAAGCGUGGGUAGCAAACAGGAUUAGAUACCCCCGUAGUCC